GGAUUUCACACUGCCAAGAAAAGCCUCUAGUGAGUUCAUAGGUGCCCGUACCGCAAACCGACACAGGUAGGCGAGGAGAGAAUCCUAAGGUGAGCGGGAGAACUCUCGUUAAGGAACUCGGCAAAAUGACCCCGUAACUUCGGGAGAAGGGGUGCUCCUUUAAGGAGGAGCCGCAGUGAAUAGGCCCAAGCGACUGUUUAGCAAAAACACAGGUCUCUGCGAAGCCGAAAGGCGAAGUAUAGGGGCUGACACCUGCCCGGUGCUGGAAGGUUAAGGGGAAGCGUUAGCACUUCGGUGCGAAGCGUAGAACCGAAGCCCCAGUAAACGGCGGCCGUAACUAUAACGGUCCUAAGGUAGCGAAAUUCCUUGUCGGGUAAGUUCCGACCCGCACGAAAGGUGCAACGACUUGGGCACUGUCUCAACGAGAGACCCGGUGAAAUUAUACUAUGCGUGAAGAUGCGCAUUACCCGCGACAGGACGGAAAGACCCCGUGGAGCUUUACUGUAGCCUGAUAUUGAAUGUUGGUACAGCUUGUACAGGAUAGGUGGGAGCCAUCGAAGCGUGAGCGCUAGCUUACGUGGAGGCAACCGUGGGAUACCACCCUGGCUGUACGAACCUUCUAACCCAGGGCCGUAAUCCGGUCCGGAGACAGUGUCAGGCGGGCAGUUUGACUGGGGCGGUCGCCUCCCAAAAGGUAACGGAGGCGCCCAAAGGUUCCCUCAGAAUGGUUGGAAAUCAUUCGCAGAGUGUAAAGGCAGAAGGGAGCUUGACUGCGAGACCUACAAGUCGAGCAGGGACGAAAGUCGGGCUUAGUGAUCCGGUGGUUCCGCAUGGAAGGGCCAUCGCUCAACGGAUAAAAGCUACCCCGGGGAUAACAGGCUUAUCUCCCCCAAGAGUUCACAUCGACGGGGAGGUUUGGCACCUCGAUGUCGGCUCAUCGCAUCCUGGGGCUGUAGUCGGUCCCAAGGGUUGGGCUGUUCGCCCAUUAAAGCGGUACGCGAGCUGGGUUCAGAACGUCGUGAGACAGUUCGGUCCCUAUCCGUCGUGGGCGCAGGAGGUUUGAGAGGAGCUGUCCUUAGUACGAGAGGACCGGGAUGGACACACCGCUGGUGUACCAGUUGUUCCGCCAGGAGCAUAGCUGGGUAGCUACGUGUGGCAGGGAUAAGUGCUGAAAGCAUCUAAGCAUGAAGCCCCCCUCAAGAUGAGACUUCCCAUCACUAUAAGUGAGUAAGAUCCCUCAGAGAUGAUGAGGUUGAUAGGUUCGAGGUGGAAGCGUGGUGACACGUGGAGCUGACGAAUACUAAU
rnacentral:ncRNA from 1 species